UAUGAGGUCAGGCUGAAGACCUUACCCGAUUAGCUGAGAGGUGGUGCAUGGCCGUCGUCAGUUCGUACUGUGAAGCAUCCUGUUAAGUCAGGCAACGAGUGAGACCCACGUCCACAGUUGCCAGCAUACCCUCCGGGGUGAUGGGUACACUGUGGAGACCGCCGCUGCUAAAGCGGAGGAAGGAGUGGGCAACGGUAGGUCAGUAUGCCCCGAAUCUCCCGGGCUACACGCGGGCUACAAUGGUUGGUACAAUGGGCAUCUACCCCGAAAGGGGAAGGAAAUCUCUUAAAGCCAAUCGUAGUUCGGAUUGAGGGCUGCAACUCGCCCUCAUGAAGCUGGAAUCCGUAGUAAUCGCGUUUCAACAGAACGCGGUGAAUACGUCCCUGCUCCUU
rnacentral:rRNA from 1 species